UACGUAGGGGGCUAGCGUUGUCCGGAAUCAUUGGGCGUAAAGCGCGUGUAGGCGGUCCGGUAAGUCCGCUGUGAAAGUCGGGGGCUCAACCCUCGGAUGCCGGUGGAUACUGUCGGGCUUGAGUACGGAAGAGGCGAGUGGAAUUCCUGGUGUAGCGGUGAAAUGCGCAGAUAUCAGGAGGAACACCGGUGGCGAAGGCGGGUCUCUGGGCCGUAACUGGACGCUGAGGAGCGAAAGCAUGGGGAGCGAACAGG
rnacentral:rRNA from 1 species